CCUACGGGGGGCAGCAGUGGGGAAUAUUGGACAAUGGGGGCAACCCUGAUCCAGCCAUGCCGCGUGUGUGAAGAAGGCCCUCGGGUUGUAAAGCACUUUCAGUGAGGAAGAACGCCUGGUGGUUAAUACCCAUCAGGAAAGACAUCACUCACAGAAGAAGCACCGGCUAACUCCGUGCCAGCAGCCGCGGUAAUACGGAGGGUGCGAGCGUUAAUCGGAAUUACUGGGCGUAAAGCGCGCGUAGGUGGCUUGAUAAGCCGGUUGUGAAAGCCCCGGGCUCAACCUGGGAACGGCAUCCGGAACUGUCUAGCUAGAGUGCACGAGAGGAAGGCAGAAUUCCCGGUGUAGCGGUGAAAUGCGUAGAGAUCGGGAGGAAUACCAGUGGCGAAGGCGGCCUUCUGGACUGAAACUGACACUGAGGUGCGAAAGCGUGGGUAGCGAACAGGAUUAGAUACCCUAGUAGUC
rnacentral:rRNA from 1 species